rnacentral:misc_RNA from 1 species
AACGCAUAUUGCGCCCUCUGGUAUUCCGGAGGGCACACCUGUUCGAGCGCCGGUUCAAUUCUAAAGCUUAAGCUUUGUGUUGAUAGUACCUGUUAAAGGGUCUAUUGAAACAUGGACCGUAUGGUUCUGACGUCUCUCUUGAGAAAAUCAGCUACGCAGCGAUAUGCGCCAUGCUAACAUUUUAAGAAGUGACAGUCUGACUAGCAACCUGAAAAUAUGGCCUCGGAUCAGGUGGGGAUACCCGCUGAACUUAA